rnacentral:rRNA from 1 species
UACGUAGGCAGCGAGCGUUGUUCGGAAUUACUGGGCGUAAAGAGUGUGUAGGCGGUGCUCCCAGUCUGUUGUGAAAUCUCCCGGCUUAACUGGGAGGGUGCAGCGGAAACUAGAGUGCUAGAGGGUGGGAGAGGUAAGCGGAAUUCCUGGUGUAGCGGUGAAAUGCGUAGAUAUCAGGAGGAACACCAAUGGCGAAGGCAGCACUCUGGGACGUGACUGACGCUGAGACGCGAAAGCGUGGGGAGCAAACAGG